CAGAAUUAGAGGGAAAUGUGGGAGGUAAUGUGGGAGGUCCCUGAAGGCACCUGUGGGCUGCCUCCUCCCAUUCCUGCACCCGGGCUGCCUGCGAGCCCCUUUAAAUUGCGGCUUGGCAGAGCCCUGGGCACAGCCUUCAUCAGCAUGGCACCGAGCAUCCUCCUGCUGGGGCUCCUCACCCUGUGGGCACAGCUGCAGGCAGCACCCAUUGCAGAGUUCCACGGAGUGGCUCCAGCUGGGUGGCCACCACCAGGGCAGCUGGGAAGCACCCUGAGCCUUGAGCCUGGCAGAGAGCUCAGCACGGUGCCUGGCAAUGGCAAAAACAGCUCCAAUAGAGGUGAAACUGGUGACUCCAGUAGCCAUGAAACUGGUGAGUCCAGUAGCAGUGAAACUGGUGAUGAUGGCAAUAAAAAUCAGCUUUGUGAUUGCAAUGAUCAUGAUCAUGCUGGCAACGACGGUGAUGAUGAUGGUGAUGAUCAUGAUCAUGGUGUCAACAGUGACAAUUCCAAUAGCAAAGAACAUGGUGAUGAUGGUGAUAAAAAUGACCUUUUUAAUGGCAAGGACAAUGACAAUGGUAAUGGUGGCAAUGACAGUGGUGAUGGUGUCAGCAGUGACAAUUCCAAAAGCAAUGAAGAUGAUGGUGAUGAAGGUGUUAAAAAUGAUCUUUCUGAUGGCAAGGACAAUGACAGUGAUGAUGACAGUGAUGAUGGCCAUGGUGCUGGUGAUGAUGGCAAUGAUGAUGGUGAUGAUCUCAUCAAUGAUGAAAAUUCCAAUAGCAAUGAAGAUGAUGAUGAUGAUGGCAACAGUGAUGAAAAUUCCAGUAGCAAUGAAGAUGAUGAUGAUGAUGACAUCUACAGUGACAGUUCCAAUAGCAGUGAAGAUGGUGACUCCAAUUACAAUGAAUAUGAUCACUCCAAUAGCAAUGAAAAUGAUUCUGAUUAUGGGGGGUGGAGAUAUUAGAAUGUAAGGAUGUAAUUGCCCUGGGAUCAGAGAUUUUUGGGUUCCUCUUUUGUAGUAUCCAGCUCAGGUUACCAGAUUUCAUGCCUGAUCUGUGCCAAUAAAUGUAUCUAGCGAAUAUGAGAGCUUAGUGUC
rnacentral:lncRNA from 1 species